CACCUGAGUGCUCGGCAGGGCACGCGGCUCUCAGGGCUCCCUGCGCCGCACCGCGCUCCGCAGAGCUGCCCGGCAGCGCGUUACGGCCCUGUCAGACCUCACAGAGCUCCCAUCUCUGCCACACCAACCCUGGUUCGGGUUGAGUCUGAAGUAAAAAUCAGCCGGUUCUACAGAGACUGGACGUGUAUAACCCGCUGCAGUACAGGGAGCGGGAAAAGGCCCUCUUAAGAAAACAUAAUGAGUUGUAUGCGUAUGCUCCCUGUGCAAAUACAGGCACUUCGAUCUGAUGUUGUCUGACACGGGAGGGAAUCGAAGGAGCUAAAGAUAAGGCUGUGGAAGAGAACAGCAGCGACAAUGAUUUCCCGACAAAGGUCUGCGCCUGAAACCCGCUGCAAAUGCAAGACCACCUCACUCUCCUUCACUAAGAGGAAGCGCACGCUUCAAUUCACGUUCAAACGCCGGGACCUCCCCGAAGCUGCCCUCUCCCCGCAGAACCCUCCC
ensembl:lncRNA